rnacentral:rRNA from 1 species
UACGUAGGUGGCAAGCGUUGUUCGGAAUUAUUGGGCGUAAAGGGCGCGUAGGCGGUUUGUUAAGUCAGCUGUGAAAGCCCGGGGCUCAACCCCGGAGAGUCGACUGAUACUGGCAGACUAGAGUACGGAAGAGGUAGCUGGAAUUCCCGGUGUAGCGGUGAAAUGCGCAGAUAUCAGGAGGAACACCGGUGGCGAAGGCGGGUCUCUGGGCAGUAACUGACGCUGAGGAGCGAAAGCGUGGGGAGCGAACAGG